rnacentral:sRNA from 1 species
GGUAGCAGAGUGGGACAUAGACAGUUUCAAUAGAAGGUUGAGAGCCUCUGGUCUGGUAGAAGACUGACAACCACUGGUCUGGUAGAAGACUGACAACCACUGGUCUGGUAGAAGACUGACAACCACUGGUCUGGUAGAAGAUUGAGAACCUCUGGUCUGGUAGAAGGUUGAGAACCUCUGGUCUGGUAGAAGACUGACAACCACUGGUCAGGUAGAAGACUGAGAACCACUGGUCAAAUGCUUAGAACCACUGGUUAGAUAGAAGGUAGAAUACCGCUGGUCAGGUAGAAGGUUGAGAACCACUGGUCAAAUGCUUAGAACCACUGGUUAGAUAGAAGGUAGAAUACAACUGGUCAGGUAGAAGGUUGAGAACCACUGGUCAAAUACUUAGAACCACUGGUUAGAUAGAAGGUAGAAUACAACUGGUCAGGUAGAAGGUUGAGAACCACUGGUCUGGUAGAAGAUUGAGAGCCACUGGUCAAAUGCUUAGAACCACUGGUUAGAUAGAAGGUAGAAUACAACUGGUUAGGUAGAAGGUUCAGAACCACUGGUUAGAUAGAAGGUAGAAUACCACUGGUCAAGUAGAAGGUUGAGAACCACUGGUCAAAUGCUUAGAACCACUGGUUAGAUAGAAUGUAGAAUACCACUGGUCCGGUAA